rnacentral:rRNA from 1 species
GUGAGGAAUAUUGCGCAAUGGAGGCAACUCUGACGCAGCCAUGCCGCGUGUAGGAAGAAGGCGCUACGCGUUGUAAACUGCUUUUAACCGGGAAGAAACCCCAGGACGUGUCCUGGGUUGACGGUACCGGAGGAAUAAGCACCGGCUAACUUCGUGCCAGCAGCCGCGGUAAUACGAAGGGUGCAAGCGUUAUCCGGAUUCAUUGGGUUUAAAGGGUGCGUAGGCGGAGCGUUAAGUCAGUGGUGAAAUCCUGCAGCUUAACUGUAGACUUGCCAUUGAUACUGGCGCUCUUGAGUGCGCUUGAAGUGGGCGGAAUGUGCCGUGUAGCGGUGAAAUGCUUAGAUAUGGCACAGAACACCAAUUGCGAAGGCAGCUCACUAAGGCGAUACUGACGCUGAGGCACGAAAGCGUGGGGAUCGAACAGGAUUAGAAACCCGGGUAGUCC